rnacentral:RNase_P_RNA from 1 species
UGAGUGGGUCGGGCGGUCGCUCCUUGAGGCCUGCCGAGGCCUUGGCCGAGGCAGGCUCCAGGGGGAGGAAAGUCCGAGCAGGGCAGGGCACGGUGAUGGCUAACAGCCACCGGGGGCUGGGUCCCAUCCUGCCGUAUCCGGCAUGAUGGAGGCCUGGGUGACCCCAGGGAAAGUGCCACAGAAAACACACAGCCGAUGGCCCCACCAAGUGGGGAUCAGGCAACGGUGAAAAGGUGCGGUAAGGGCGCACCGCGGCGGUGGUGACACCGCCGGCAUGGAAAACCCCACCGCCUGCAAGACCAAGUAGGCUGGCGGGACUUGCCUCGGCAGGUCCCUCACCUGGCCCGGGUGACGCCAGCGGGUAGGUCGCUUGCCGAUCUGCGGCAGAGCCGGCUGGCAACAGCCGGUCCAGACAAAUGAUCGCCACCCGCCUCCGGCGGGCACAGGACUCGGCUUAUAGACCUGCUCAUGGG